UCCAGAGAUGGACUGGUGCCUUCGGGAACCGUGAGACAGGUGCUGCAUGGCUGUCGUCAGCUCGUGUUGUGAAAUGUUGGGUUAAGUCCCGCAACGAGCGCAACCCUUAUCCUUUGUUGCCAGCGGUUAGGCCGGGAACUCAAAGGAGACUGCCAGUGAUAAACUGGAGGAAGGUGGGGAUGACGUCAAGUCAUCAUGGCCCUUACGACCAGGGCUACACACGUGCUACAAUGGCGCAUACAAAGAGAAGCGACCU
rnacentral:rRNA from 1 species